GGACAAAGGAGACUGAGAGGCUGAAAAGCGGAGAGAGUGAACACUGUAUAAAAUAAACCCGAUUGCCGAGAGCAAAAAAAAGAGGGACUUUGGAAACGAAUGGUACCUGCGCUGGAUAUGGAGGGCUUCCCUCACAGAUGGCGCCUCGAACCCCAGGGCCGGUGUGCUGGGAGUGCGGCCAACCUGGGCAUGUACGCCGGGAGUGCUCCAUGAUGGAGGUGGGGCAGGUGUUACAGGUUGUCGGGCCUCCAGCACCCGCCCCCGAUUCAGGGGAGACAUACUGUGUCCCGCUGUACAUGGACUGGCACUUCAUUAUAUCUCGGACCUCAAUCGGACUUACAAUCCUGCGCUCUUCUCUCUGGUCGGCCCUAAGCUCUGGAACACUCUGCCCCUCCAUAUUUGAACUGCUCCCACAGUGGAGUGUUUUAUGUCUCGUCUUUAGACCCAUUUUUAUUCUGUGGCUUUUAAACCUACGUGAGUUGCGUGGUCCUCUGUUGUCCUCUGUGUUUUUAAAAUUUAGAUUUGUAUUUACUGUUUUAAUUGGUUUCACCCUUAAAAUU